rnacentral:rRNA from 1 species
UACGUAGGGUGCGAGCGUUAAUCGGAAUUACUGGGCGUAAAGCGUGCGCAGGCGGUUUUGUAAGCCAGAUGUGAAAUCCCCGGGCUCAACCUGGGAAUGGCAUUUGGGACUGCAAGGCUGGAGUGCGGCAGAGGAGAGUGGAAUUCCUGGUGUAGCGGUGAAAUGCGCAGAUAUCAGGAAGAACACCAAUGGCGAAGGCAGGUCUCUGGGCCACUACUGACGCUGAGAAGCGAAAGCAUGGGGAGCGAACAGGA